UACGUAGGGGGCAAGCGUUGUCCGGAUUUAUUGGGCGUAAAGAGCGUGUAGGCGGUUAGGUAGGUCCGUUGUGGAAACUCGAGGCUCAACCUCGAGACGCCGAUGGAAACCAUCUAACUAGAGUCCGGAAGAGGAGAGUGGAAUUCCUGGUGUAGCGGUGAAAUGCGCAGAUAUCAGGAAGAACACCCGUGGCUAAGGCGGCUCUCUAGUACGGUACUGACGCUGAGACGCGAAAGCGUGGGGAGCGAACAGG
rnacentral:rRNA from 1 species